rnacentral:pre_miRNA from 1 species
CGUGUUUACUGUGGACCUUGCUGUGUGACGUCACAAUAAGGCACGCGGUGAAUGCCAA